GGNAUAUUGCACAAUGGGGGAAANCCUGAUGCAGCCAUGCCGCGUGUGUGAAGAAGGCCUUCGGGUUGUAAAGCACUUUCAGUAGGGAGGAAAGGGUGUANNUUAAUACGCUAUAUCUGUGACGUUACCUACAGAAGAAGGACCGGCUAACUCCGUGCCAGCAGCCGCGGUAAUACGGAGGGUCCGAGCGUUAAUCGGAAUUACUGGGCGUAAAGCGUGCGCAGGCGGUUUGUUAAGCGAGAUGUGAAAGCCCUGGGCUCAACCUAGGAAUAGCAUUUCGAACUGGCGAACUAGAGUCUUGUAGAGGGGGGUAGAAUUCCAGGUGUAGCGGUGAAAUGCGUAGAGAUCUGGAGGAAUACCGGUGGCGAAGGCGGCCCCCUGGACAAAGACUGACGCUCAUGCACGAAAGCGUGGGGAGCAAACAGGAUUAGAUACCCUGGUAGUCCACGCCGUAAACGAUGUCUACUCGGAGUUUGGUGUCUUGAACACUGGGCUCUCAAGCUAACGCAUUAAGUAGACCGCCUGGGGAGUACGGCCGCAAGGUUAAAACUCAAAUGAAUUGACGGGGGCCCGCACAAGCGGUGGAGCAUGUGGUUUAAUUCGAUGCAACGCGAAGAACCUUACCUACUCUUGACAUCCACGGAAUUCGCUAGAGAUAGCUUAGUGCCUUCGGGAACCGUGAGACAGGUGCUGCAUGGCUGUCGUCAGCUCGUGUUGUGAAAUGUUGGGUUAAGUCCCCCCCNAGGAAAA
rnacentral:rRNA from 1 species